GGCGGGGGUGGGCUCGGGGGAGAAUCCCGAGCAGGGGCCAGGUUGUUGGCACUGAGCCCGAUGCAGGGUUUGAACGCAUGAACUGUGAUGUGAGAUCAUGACCUGAAAUGCGAUCGGGAACUGGACGUUCAAUCAAAUCAGCCACCCAGGGGCCCAGAUUACUGCCAUUUUGUUAAUUGUGUGCUGGCUGUUUUUGUCAUUCUCUGUUGCCCCCAGGGCUGUCCUCUUGCGGGACUGACGACAUUAUUUAGUGUUAGGCUAGAGUUCUUCCUUGGUGUGUGUUUCGUCUUUUUACUAUAGAUUUUGGUCUCCGGUGACUGUGAGAUGGAGAACUCCCUAAACAUACUGCCAUCUGGGCUCUCUGGUCUCGGCCAUGAAACGAGAUGAUGAAGGGACGUCAUCACUUGGAAAGCGUCACGGUGAGCCCCUCACACUGUGGGGCUGCUGUGGCCCUGAGGCCCACCAUCUCCAGAAGUCCACCUGUGGCAAACGUGCCCUCCUGCCCGGCAUGGGGGAAAGUCACCAGAGAGCCAAGGCUGAGAGGGGGACCCCCACGGGCCCAGACGAAAAAGGUACCUGAACGUGGCACCGUGGCCGGACCUGGAUUCUGUGCAGGGACAGGCGCUGAAGCUGAGAAGGGGGCUGCGGUGGCAUCGCAUUCAUCUUCCGGGUCUCAUCGAUGAGUCACACGAUCCACAUUCUGGGUUGAAACAACACAUGCAGAGAGCGUUCUGUAUCAGCUUGAUGGUCGCUCCAGUUCACGCGCACUCCCAAAGGACACACGCUGUUUCAUCUAUUUUGUGAGUCCCUUAACUCAUUUUCUAUAUGUGAUUGAGUUUACUGGCUCUUUGAACCUUCACACCAGCUUUGUGAUUAUUUGUUUAGUUCUUCUUGCAGAUAUGUCUUCUUUCAUUUGAAAUGUAUUCCUCUGUCGUCUCAUUUUGUCUGACUUCCUAUGGGUUACAUGGAAAGCUUUUAGAAGUCUUCAAAGAAAGGCCCCUGUGGGCAUGGUCUGUGGGUAGACUGCAUGUACCCAGUAGACUGCAUGGCUCUGCCGGACUAUGUGGAGGUGGACUGUAGCCUGGGGUCCUGGUGCAUCUCUCACCAGUAUCCCCCUGAUGGGACGGCGGGAGCUGAAGGUAACCUGGCUGGGGGCUCCUGGCAGGGCAGGUGCUGCUGAAGCAGGAAGGGGCUGGAAAACCCCAGGGUGUCUCACACAAGGGUUGCCUGCUGAGUCAGGAGGAGCUGAAGUGGGUACCUGCGUCACCUUGGCAAGACAUCUGGAGCCAUGAUGGGUGUUGUCAGAGCAUGUCCUGCUGUGUGCCACGGUAGGGCCAUCUUGAGACGGCUGGGGCUGGUGGAGGCUGGGGAUCUGGGACUCGCUACAGCAGCUGGCUAGCCAGGGCCCCCAUAGCCUGUGCCCAUCUGCGCUGUCAAUGUGGAAGGGGAACGUUACAGUGGCUCCAGCCAGCUCCCCUCCCCCCAAUCCACAAGAGAGGUCCACGCAUCUCCUGCUAUUAGGCAGACACUGCAGGCCUGGAUCCUUUAAACCAUAGCUGCCCUAUCAAAUGACGGCUCUCGUUCCUGUGUCCCAGGGUAGACCAAUCUGCUCAGCAUCUCUCAGGGCCGGCCCUCCAGGUGUGGAUGGCGGUGGGGACGGGGCUUAGUCCCCCCUGCUCUUCUCUCCAUGGUCCUUCUAUCCUCUGUCCUGCAGAGACGUUGCUCGGUUGGCCCGGUGCAUCAGUGUUGACUCCAUGUGUGUCUGUGAAGGAGGGGAGUCAGGGUCUUUUCCCAUGUCACCAUCUCAGAUCCUCUCCCAACAGUACUUCCUUAAUGUCCUCUUCUCUCCAUUAUCCACCUAGUUCUAAGUUUUUGUUGUUGCUGGAACCAUAAUUCAAAUAAAGCCCACAUGCUGCAGUUUGUUGAUAGGUCUCUUAGUUCUCCUAAAUUUAUAGGUUUUUGCUCCUGUUUUCCUCUAAGUUUAUUUGCUGAAGAAACCACACCCUGGUUGGUUCCAUUCCCAUGGCAUCACGUUCUUCCAUUCCCUGGAUUCCUGGGAACUGGAUCCGGAGGUGAGUUUGGAUUCAGAUUGAAUUUUUUGCACAAACCCUGCAAAGGUGGCACUGUAUGCUUUCACAAGUAGGCACGCAGUAUUUGGGUCUCUUUAGAUGAGGAGCCACGAGAUUCUAUCACACCAGAAUCACACAACAGGAAUCUAAUUCCACUAACCCUUCUUCACUUCUAGGCAGACAGGGAUGUAUAAGGAGAAACUCCCAUUACCAAUCUUUGGAUCAUCAUGAGGCAUCAUUCACUUAGAAAAGGCUGAAGAAAUGCCCCUAAGUUCCCUCUAUUUAUGUGCUUUCCAAGUAAAUUUGUUCCCUAGUAUGCUGUAAAGGUGAUUAAUGACCUCCUCCUUCCUUAAAAGUAUUAUGGCGAAUUGGUGGAUUUCAGCAUACCUGGUGGGUUUCCAUCGGUGCCGUUAUUAUCGCAUUGCUACUAAAACUGUCAAUCUCUGCACAGGGGGAGUUCUUUAAAUUGGCUCUUGAGUAUUUAUUGUUUGUUUUUUGCUAUGUGUCAGGUCAUCUUCAGCUUUCUUGCUUUCUGGUAUGUCAGUGGGUGAUAGCCCAUCUUGUACAUCUGCUGUCUCAGAAAUUCGAUGAGUCAUGAUUGUGAGGAUCCUUGAGAUUCCUUUAAUGGGAAGUGGCAGCAGGGAUUGUGACAUGGGAACGCCUUCUCACCCCCCUCUAGGAUUAUUCUGUGAUGGGGGCUUAGAAGCACCUAUUUUCUAAAGAGAAAUAUCAUGAGUUCAUGGAAUUUCCAAUUCCAAUUUUGGAUUAAUGUGCUUUUUGAGUUGAUAUACAAUUUUAUUCCACUAAUGAUUACUUCUUAGACUUAAGGGGAAAAGCUGGACUCAUUCUAGAAUUUGACACAUGGAGAAUGGGAAACCCAGGGAGGCUGCACCGUGGUAAGGAGCCACAGACAGCCGGAGAAAGGUCUGCCACAUGAACACUGGCACCAGGGCACUGUGUUCUUUUGUUACUUUCAGAAGAGAAGACACCGGACGAUGGAAAAGGAAUCGGCCUUGGGCUCUGGAGUACCUGGCCUCUCUGAGCACCAGUUUCUCUAUUUAUCAAGGGUACUUGUCCACCUAAUAGGAUAUUGAAAGGACUCAACGAAAAGAAGAUACUAGAAAAUCAGCGUUAAUGUACAUGAAAGUGGCACGAUUUAGCGAUCUAACUUCAGAACAAUAUUUCAAAACAGGAAACGGACAACUUGCCAGCAGUGUACAAUAUUGUGAUUCAACAAUUCCAUACAUGACUCAGCGCUCAUCAUGCACUUGACUUUCUGCAAGUAUGACCUCUCCACUGAUGUUUGCUGAUAUUGUCCCUGCGAUCUUCCAUUAUGUAUCAGGUGUGUUGCUUGCCUCAAUGUCAUUCGGUUCUAGCUGGGGUCACAUCUUGUUCUUUGGGUUGGAGCAACACUCUGCACGCUGUGCUGGACUUUGUGUGUUUCUGUAAACUGGGUGCACCAGCUACUUGAACCUCAAAGAGUGGUCUUCGGUGGUCGUGCCGUGUAGACCGUGUGCCUGCUGACUUAAGCCGUGGGCUGGGGCCCUGGGGCACUCUGAGCGUGGCUGCAGGGGCCUCCUGACAAGGCCGUGGACGGCACAGUGGAGGGUGGGCCAGGGGGCCCCAGGGUGCUCUGGAUAAGGGGCACCCCACCAGGUCAGAAAAACUGUGCUGGUAGUGAGCUGGGAUGGCAGGGCGCUCUGCUCAGGGCUACUCUGACGUGGCAAGUGGAUCUGAAGCUGGCACAGGCUGGGCUGUCCCAGGGGCUCCCCACAGGGGACACCCUGACAGGUGACUGCCAUCACCUGGGGUGUGGGCUGGGUGUUUUAUGGUGCUUCGUACUGGGGGUGUCCUGGAGGGCAGCUGGAACCAAAAGGCAGGGGCAGGGGCACCUGGAUGGGGCCUCAGGAGCUUCGGCAGAUAUGACCCACAAGGUCUCAGAGGGCUAUGUGGGGCAGGAGUCCCCGUGAGCGCUGGGAAGCGUUCUGGGGUACGUACUAUGCACCUGUGUCACCUUGGGGGCAGUGGUGGGAGCUGCAGCAAGUGCUGGACGGGGCCGUCUCCGGGGCCGCCACCGGGGCGUGACUCCUGAGAAAGGUGUGGGCUGGGACCCGCAGCAUGCUGAAGCAGGCUAGCCACAGCGCUUGGACCCCAUCUCCAAAUGUGCUAUGAAGGCGGACUGGCAAGGUGUGCCGUGGUGCUGCCCGGGCCUCCAGCCCCGAGCAUGCAGGCAGGGAUCUCGGGCUGGAUCUUUGCUAUCCUUGUUGUUGUUGUCCUGUGCCCCGGGACGGAUGGCUGUGCCCGCAGUCUCUUGGCGCCAUCCCUCGCUGCUGCGGUUCCCUGAUCCCGUCUCUCUUGCUGUUCUCCUCGCGGUCUGUGCACCAUUGUCUGUGCGAUCCCCGUACAACGUGGCUGUGCAGAGAUGUCCAGUCGGCCCGCGGGCUCCGUCAGUAGGAACUGCUUCAUAAGAGGAAUACACGCGGUGUGUCUGGGAGGACAUGAGUUCAGGGUCUUCCUCUGCCGCCAACUUAGACCCCAUCUUGGCCGACCUUUCUAACUACAUCUGCUCCCGUCUCUGAUAGGCCCCGUGCAUCCCAGACGAUGCACCUGCAGUUCCCAGGAGGCCGUACCUUCCUUCAGACCCUACCGACUCGCAUUCGCAUUCGCAUGUGCCGCCCCUUCUAUCUGAAACGCCUUGCCUCCACCUUCUUGUAUUUCCUGGAACUCUCGUUACUCCCACUGUGCCUACGGCUGUGAGAGAAGCUGCCUCCUCCUUUCGUGACUUUGCUUCAUCUGCGUACCUGUUACACAUGUGAGGCCUCUCUCAGCUACCAGUUUAUGUAAACCUCCAUAACUGUACUUAAGACUCUGGACGGGAGCUGUUUGCCUGCCAACUCGACCCAAGUUGGUUUCCGACUUGACGGAAAAAUCCGGCUUGUCUGUGGAAGCCCAGUGUUCAGGAUGAUACACGGUACGCAGGAAUGUAAUUGUUAUCACACUAUCGUAAAAACCUUCCAACACAGUAGCAUCAUGAUAAAUGAGACUUAUGACGUGUGAGGCACAGGGCUAGGUAUAUGCUUCAGACGCACAAGAACUUACUUAACCUUCAACAUGGUGCUGUAGGAGCAUCAUGGUCUGCAAUCUCAAAUGAGAAAACUGGGGUCAGUGAGGUCAGGUAAGUUGGCCCAAACGGCCCGGCUCAUCAGCUGGGGAGGUGAGGCAGCCAACACUGCAGUGAAGCCUGCGGCAGGGUGCCUCACCUUCUACAAGACCAUGGUUACGUUUAUACAGAAGGAAGGAGGUCAGCAUAAAGGAAGGGAAAGGGGGUUAGCCUUCCAUUGAGAAGGAAAUCCCUUUCAGAAAAGUAAAAAAAAUCCAUAUUAUCUUUGAGCCAUUUCUUUUACUGGCUAAAUAUCUGAAUUCGUUUUACCUCUCUGUACAUGGGCUAUUUUUCUCAAUAAAUUAUUUUUAGCUCUCUAUUUCAAUCCUGAUUUUUAAAAUCUGGUAAAUAGAAUUGGAUAGAAAUGAUAAAAUAUUAUGGAGUGAUAAAUGUUCAGUACUGUAAUGUCACGUUGCUUUUCAUACAGCCCAACAACAGACCCACACUGUCUCCGUCCAGCCCAGCGACAGACGGGCACUGUCCCCAACAACACCAUGUUCUUGAUUUGCAUUCAGUUUGUGGCCAAUUAUGUGACUGUUGUUCGAGGUCAUUUUCUUCUGCAUUUACAACUACCCAGUGUUUCUCCAUGCUCUACCUGGCUGUGUGGCUGCUUGGCUAUCACUGUGGCUUAUACAUGUUCUACUUUUUUCUCGAUCUAGGUGAUUAGAUGGCAUUUAAUUUUGUCUUCCAGAGAAUUCACACUUCAUCUGGAUCCAUUUGAAUUAAUCUCUGUGAUUAUGUACAACUUUACAUGUUAUGGUUAAAAACCCUUAGCAACUUCCAAUCUUUUGUAUAUAACUUUCAGUUUUGUUCACAUACCUGUGUAAUCUGUAACAUACCACUUUUUGAAAUAAAUUUCUUACCAGAAUUAA